GACGUAGGGCGCGAGCGUUGUCCGGAUUUAUUGGGCGUAAAGAGCUCGUAGGCGGCUUGUCGCGUCGUCCGUGAAAACCUGCAGCUCAACUGCAGGCUUGCGGUCGAUACGGGCAGGCUAGAGUUCGGUAGGGGAGACUGGAAUUCCUGGUGUAGCAGUGAAAUGCGUAGAUAUCAGGAAGAACACCCGUGGCUAAGGCGGCUCUCUAGUACGGUACUGACGCUGAGACGCGAAAGCGUGGGGAGCGAACAGG
rnacentral:rRNA from 1 species